AUACGGAGGGUGCAAGCGUUAAUCGGAAUUACUGGGCGUAAAGCGCGCGUAGGCGGUUAUUUAAGUCAGAUGUGAAAUCCCUGGGCUCAACCUAGGAACUGCAUCUGAUACUGGGUAACUAGAGUUUUGGAGAGGUAAGUGGAAUUUCCGGUGUAGCGGUGAAAUGCAUAGAGAUCGGAAGGAACACCAGUGGCGAAGGCGACUUACUGGCCAAAAACUGACGCUGAGGUGCGAAAGCGUGGGUAGCGAACAGGAUUAGAAACCCCAGUAGUCC
rnacentral:rRNA from 1 species